rnacentral:rRNA from 1 species
CCUACGGGAGGCAGCAGUGGGGAAUAUUGCACAAUGGGGGAAACCCUGAUGCAGCGACGCCGCGUGAGUGAAGAAGUAUUUCGGUAUGUAAAGCUCUAUCUGCAGGGAAGAAAAUGACGGUACCUGUUUAAGAAGCCCCGGCUAACUACGUGCCAGCAGCCGCGGUAAUACGUAGGGGGCAAGCGUUAUCCGGAUUUACUGGGUGUAAGGGGAGCGUAGACGGCAGCACAAGUCUGGAGUGAAAUGCCGGGGCUUAACCCCGGAACUGCUUUGGAAACUGUGCAGCUAGAGUGCAGGAGAGGUAAGUGGAAUUCCUGGUGUAGCGGUGAAAUGCGUAGAUAUUAGGAGGAACACCAGUGGCGAAGGCGGCUUACUGGACUAUAACUGACGUUGAGGCUCGAAAGCGUGGGGAGCAAACAGGAUUAGAUACCCGAGUAGUC